UUAAUUUAAACGAUGUUUAUAAUUUUAGGGAGGAAUUUGCAUGUUCAGUCAAAUAUUUUCAUAAAGAAAGGUGUAUAUAAGUUUCUGUUGGUUGUGACUUGUGAGCUCAUAGGGCAACCUUCAAAUUGACACACUCACUUAUUUAUGGGCCUUUUAACCACCUUUUUUUAUCCUUGUUGAGAAAGUGAUUAUGUGAAACUUUCGAAGGUCACCAGCUAUUUUUUUAACGUGAUUUUCAUCUUCCUUUGUCUUUUGACUUAUGUCCCUAGACAGUAAAAACUAAUAGAACAACCUACUAUACCAUGUAAUUUUAGAGGGUCUCCAAUUAUGGUUCGAAAGUAUCGUUGGAUAAUGAAGAUUUUGAAGGGAAAAAUUGGCACACGUAGUUUAUGGAAAUAAUGAAGUGUGUUUGUGGAAAAAGGUGCAGUAACUACGCAGUCGUGCUCAUGAGGAAGGACCACAUGGACUGAGUAAUGGACCAGACCCAUGACCGUACACGUGUACAAUGAAUGGGGUAUGAAGAAACAGAACACGUACUCAAACGCACGAUCACAAAAAGUUAAGUUCAGAAAAUCAGAGAGAGAAAUUAAAAAGGGUGCCAUGUGCGACCCUGCUCUGCUGCAUUUGCAAUGCAAGCUAUUCAAGUAAGCUUAUUAUGCCAAACCCGUACACCCACAACAAAUGUUGUUUUCUUUUCUUUUUAGGUACAUUUAUUUUCCUUUUUACUAUACAAACUAACUAUAAACUUAUAUAAUAUUAAAUUUUAAUUUUCAAUGGGACGAUUAUUGUAAUAUAUUGAUAUUUAUUAAUUAAAUUAAUUUUUAAAGAUAUUAUAAUUUAAUAUAAUAGAAAAAGUAAAUUUUUUGAGAAAAAUAAUAGAAAUGUAUUUUAAAUAAGAAAUAUUUUAAAUGAUUUUAUAUUUUAUUAGAGUUGAAAUUUUUAAAUAAUCUAUAAAUUAUUUUACUAUUUUUCCUUCCUUUCAAGUUUCAAAUCGUAAGAGUAGUAAAAAUGAGUGUCGUGGAAAAUUUAUUUCCAUUUUUCCUUCCUUCCAAAUCCCAAAUUGUAAGAAGAGUAAAAACGGGUCUAGUGAGAAUUUUUCUUCCAUUUUUUUUUUCAUAAAAUUGAGCCAUCAACACAUCUUUUUUAAAUAUUUUAUCUCAUCUCCUCCACUUCAAAUUGCAUCAAGUAAAGGAACGUUUAAAAAAUAUAAAUAAAUAAUUUUUUUAUGAUAAAGAAGAAAGGCAAUUUGCUUUUCGAGCAAAAGCAAACAAAGCUGCUGACCGGUUGUUUGUGUGGUUGCUUUCUCUUCCAUGAGUUUUUAACAAUCAUUACUUAUUAAUUAUUAAAAAUAAAUAAAUUUGUACUCAAAAGUUUUAGUGAAUGAUAAAUCAUUAAAAAAACUUAAAUUUAGAAUUUUAUUAGACAAUAAUUAAUCAGAUUUUAUAUAUUGAUUUAUUAAAUUUUAACUUCUAUUUUAGAGAAAUGAAGAGCUAAAAACAGUAACUUAUAUUCAGUUUACUUUUUUUGAAGUAGCAAAACAUUUUUCUAAAACAAAUCAGUAUAAAACUUUUUUAUAUUUGUGUCUCGAUCACAUCUUAUCAUGCGGAUAUUUAUAAAUAUAGUAAAGUGUUAACAUAAUGUGAUUUCAUAGAACGAGUAUGAAAAAGAUUACCUUG
rnacentral:lncRNA from 1 species